GAGCCCUUUCCUCCCAGAAGGUGCUGCAGACCUUCCAGAGGCAUCCUCCUGCACAACUGAGAUUGGUUUAAUACAGAGCUGACUGGCCAUUUGCUAGGCAGGAAGAGGUUCAGCAGGACUUCUGGGGACAGAGAGCUCUGGGAAGGAGAAAGGAGGAGUUGCCAGCGGGACGCAGAGGGAGCAAGACGUGCAGGAGAGAGGAGACGAAUCUAGGCACAGGAGAGACACCAGAAGACAGCAGAGGAAACAGGAGGUGCAAAUGGAAGAGAGCUGUCUGAACAGGACGCAGCCACGAAUGUGCUCCCUCAGCAUGAAAGGUCGACCCCUCCUCAAGCCACCUGGCAAACUAUUUCUCUGGCUCUGCAGUUUGCCAUCCCAAGUAGGAGGCUGUUCCUGGGCUGUGCCAGCAGAGAGGUGUUCCUCCCUGUCUCCUGAGAUCUCAGUGAUGGCAUCACUGUAUACGCUGAACCUCUGCUCAUCCCCUGUGAGCUCAGGAGCCUGAGACCAUCUAUUCUCUGUGCCCAGCACACUGCCUGGGACAAGGAAGACAAGGAGAAAAUUAAACAUCUCGUUUCAGUGACUUCUAACGUUGACUCUGGUUUCCCAGAACAUGCCUCUCCGCUCCCAGCCUCUGCCUCUCACAAGUGCCCAACUUCUAACUACACUCAAGUGUGAGCUGCUUUAAACACUUUUUAGUCAUUGAACAAACAUGAGUCAUGUGCUUCUGAUUAUAGAAUCUGAGCACUGACAGCUUUUACCUAAACACACACACACACACACACACACACACACACACACACACACACACACACUCACACCUGUGGGCUUGGGGAAAGUUACAUCUGUACUAAUCAGGGUUCUCUAAAGGAAAAGAACCAACAAAAUCAAUCCGUAUUAAAAGGGGAUUUAUUAGGUUGAUUUAUACAGUCCAACAGUGGCUGUCUUCACACUGGAGAGGUCUAGAACCCCAGAGGCUUCUC